ensembl:lncRNA
UGAUAAGUGACAUGUUUGCUUAUGUGCCUCCACAAUGUUUGCACAAUUCAGCUUUCCAGAAUUCUUCAAUCCAAUGGAGUUUGUAGCUGCUGUACAGAGCAAAGUACAGCACAACAUAGUAGGUUUUGUAAUAGCGUGCCUCUAAAUGCCAGGUAUUUCAGAUGUCAGGGAAAACAGCAGUUGACAGCUAUCCGCCAUGCCUGCAACACACCGGGCUUUUGCUCUCAUCUCUCUGCUGUCCUUCAGCGCAGCAGCACCAACAGUAGACGACUGCAAUCAGCUGACCCAGCCUCUGCAAGCUAACGAGCUUCACCAGAUCCUGGGUAGGUGGAUCUUUAUUCAGGGGCUUGCCAGUAACGGUAGCUUGGGAGACAGUUUGAGGUUUGUGGAAAGUACGUGGAUGGUGCUGAAUACAACAUCAGACAGUCGGACCCUGCAGGCAGAGAUAGCUGGCCGAGUGGUUCAACAGCUGGACGAGUCUGUUCAGCCACAAGUUCCAAAGAUGGAGGACGCCUCCAUCCCGACCAAUUCCCAGGGACCUGAGCUUUCUUCAAACCCUAGCUCCCACCCUGUCAGCAGUUCCACACCCCAUCUGGUCAUGAAGGAGGAUCGCUGCCUCAGGAAUGUUCAGAACAUGUCCCUAGUUGAUGGCAAAGACUUAGAGUUCUACAUGAAAAUUGCCAGUUCCUAUCACAGGUUCCUGCAGACCUGCCCUGACUGUCUGCUCAUGCAUACCUACUAUAAAGUAGCCAGUCACCAAAUGUUCUACUUGUUUGGGAGGAACAAGACCGUGACAGCUUCUGAUUUAGAGACCUUCAGAAAACAAGGUGAAUGCCUCAGGUUUCCCACGACACCAAAGUUUAACUACGACCCUAACAAUGAACUGUGUCCUGUGGAGGAAAAGAAGUCAGAAUCCACACCUCAACAAAACCUCCACUAACAGAGUUCUUAAUAACACUGCCACUGCUAUCGUCAAACUUACGCUGUUGAUUGGUUUUUACUCAUGAUUUAAUUGAGAGAAAUUUGAGAAGUUUGAAUGUCCAAACUGUUAAGUGCUUUUCUAAAAAAUUUUGGUUCAGGUUUUGACCCGCCUACUAGACUCUAUGUGAUUCCUGAUAGCUUAGCCAACAUGAAUGGGACAGGAAAUUUAUGUUUACUUCAGUGUCAUAUCCAUCCAUCCACCCAUCCGAAGCUUAGAUGGUCAGCUUGAUAUCUAAAAAACUGAGUUAAUUAUAAACAAGUGUUUAUCUUGGUAGAUUUUAUGCACAGAUUAAAGUUUUUUUUUAAAAAGGCAUUUAAUGCUAUUUUAACCCAAAUUUACACCAUUAGUCAACUGCAUAAACCACUUUCAUAAGGGAGGAAUGGUUUGCACACUUGAUCAAUGCUCACCCAUUGGCUGGGAGCCAGAGAGGGAUCUGCCUGAGAAAUUGAUCAAGUGAUUGUAUGACUAGCUACAGUUAUAUAGCAGUAACCUGACAAUCAAGCUGAAAGCAUAUGCUGCUUUACUGUCCAUUUAGACUGUAAUGGGUUAUUUUGUUAUACAUCACAAAAUAACCAUGACGUAAACUGUCUUCACUAAUACCUGAAACCAGAAAAUCAAAUAAUAAACUCCAAAUAAAUGAUAAAAUCUGAAAAGUGUUUCUGACAUCAGUGGUCAUGGAAGCCAAAGGCAAGACAACUGGCCGUUUCUUUGGAACGACAGCAGUUGCACCACAUUGGUCAUUACAAAUACUUCAAAUUUAUACAUGAUUUUUUCCUGAUAUUCUAACCAUGUGUUUGGUCAAAAUAUUUUGAGACAAGAAUCUGUCAGAACUUUUGUAAUUAUAUUUCUCUCUUAUUGUGUUUUGUUUCACCAGUGCAUGUGUGAUUUUUUUCCCCCUGUGCAUUUCCAAACCGAUGGUUAAAGUGGCCGGUAUUGUCAACUAACUCUUCUGGCUCUCUUGCUUCUUUCGUGUUUGGCAUUUUUUACCAUUAUUUUUUAAAAAUAUCAAGAGCUAAUAGAAAUCAGAUGAGUAAACAGCAGAGAGCAAUCAGGAUCAUCUGUUUAUCAAGACACUGGAUCAUCCUCCAAAUUAAGGCCGUUACUGGUGCCGACUGCAGCCCCAUCGUAUUCAAAGGCCUCGUCUCUUUGAACGCCACAGAACUGACCGUUUGGACUUUGCAAGAGAGAAAGAAAGUUUUAUUCUCUGAUGAGAAAAAAUGUAACCUUGAUGGUCCUGAUGGUUUCCAAUGUUACUGGCAUGACAAGUAGAUAUUUUCUAUGCUCCACAGUGGAGGGGGCACCAUAAUGGUCUGGGGUGCUUUUUCCUUCAGUGGAACAAUAAAGUUAAAGGAGGUGCAGGGGCGUCAAACAGCUGCUGGCUAUGUCCAGAUGUUGCAGAGAGCAUCCGUUAUGACUGAGGGCCCUCGUCUGCGUGGUAACGACUGGAUGUUUUUUUUAACAGGACAACGCUACACAGUGUUGGGAAGGUUACUUUUAAAAUGUACUCCACUACAGAUCACAGAAUACAUGGCCCAAAAUAUAUUUUAUAACGUAUUCCGUUAGUUACUCAAUGAGAGUAACGUAUUCUAAAUACUUUGGAUUACUUAAUAUAUUGUCAUGCUUUUUACAACUACUUUUUUCUUAAAUAAAUCUACUACAUCAUGUGUAUUUUUUAUGUCAUGUGUAAUUUUCAUUGCAAAGAGUAAUCGCAGUUAAAUUAAGAGGGGAUAGAGCUGUGAUGUCAUCAAGUACACUGCCGUUCCAAUUGUAGAACGAUCGUGCUGCGUUCUCGGGAAGUCUGGACUCCCGUGUGAACUUAGGAAGUCCAGAGGAGUGAGAAUAUCCUGUGGUAUGAGGUCCAGUUAAUAGCAUUCUCCUGUUCUAACUGCUUCAGACAUCUAUCACCCUCUUCCUGUAAGCCAGGGGUCCCCAAUCCCAGUCCGCGAGGGCCGGUGUCCUGCAGGGUUUAGAUCUCACCCUGGGUCAACACACGUGAAUCAAAUGAUUAGUUCAUUACCAGGCCUCUGGAGAACUUCAAGACAUGUUGAGGAGGUAAUUUAGCCAUUUAAAUCAGCUGUGAUGGAUCAAGGACACAUCUAAAACCUGCAGGGACACCGGCCCUUGUGGACUGGGAUUGGGGACCCCUGCUGUAAGCACUUCCUGGGUCUCGUUUCAGGGCCUCAUAAAUAUUUUUGUCGUUGAGCAGUGACAAAAUUUUCUCAUCAUAGUCUGUAUGUUUUAGCAAAACUGUGCACCUAGCCUUGUCCGCCGGAAGGAUGAGAAUGCUGUUGCCAUUACCAAGCGAUGUAAUGAAAACCUUUUUUUUUCUUGAUUUAAUGAAUUUAAAAAUGAAAGCAAACUAGUGACAAAGAUACUUGGACAGGUUGUCAUAUUAUAGAACUAUAGAAAAUAGAGAUGCAGGCUACCCAGGUGAACACUGUGGCCGAAUAUAGUACUGAAGCAAUAGGAAUGUAAUAUCUAAAAGCUCUGUGCUCAUCUGAGCC